CUAAUGAAAAGGAGUACAAGAGCUGAACUUCCCUGUUUCUGAGACAGGGAGGAGGCCCUGCUGACUGACCCUCAGGCUGGGUCACCUGGCACCUGACAUGGGGCAGCAAGAACCAGAGACCACCCCAUGAGGGACAUUACUGGAAGAAGGGUCGACUGAAAACUCAAAAGUGAAACUAAAGUGAUCACCACAGGAACCUGCCAAGUCAGGACCCUUGACGAAAAUGGGUCAAGAAAUAAGGCGGCAUGAACUAUAUGUGGAACAAAUGAGAAAGGCUUCAAAGAUGCAAGGAGUAAAGGGAACAUGAAGAUUCUCUACAUCCUGAUGCUACUACUGCCUUUCACAACUGCCUUCAAACUGGAACAGAUCAACCAGCAUAUGCCAUAUAACCUGACUUGGCAAGUCCUCAGUGCUGAAGGAGUCAUCAGCAGCAGUGCCUCCAAGGUGGCUCCAUUGGACUCUUGGUUCCCUGACUUAUGAUUUAGUGGACUACAUCUCUUUAACUGUAUAAAGUGGGGUCAACACUCUA